AUUGGGACUGAGAUACGGCCCAGACUCCUACGGGAGGCAGCAGUGGGGAAUAUUGCACAAUGGGCGCAAGCCUGAUGCAGCGACGCCGCGUGCGGGAUGACGGCCUUCGGGUUGUAAACCGCUUUUGACUGGGAGCAAGCCCUUCGGGGUGAGUGUACCUUUCGAAUAAGCACCGGCUAACUACGUGCCAGCAGCCGCGGUAAUACGUAGGGUGCAAGCGUUAUCCGGAAUUAUUGGGCGUAAAGGGCUCGUAGGCGGUUCGUCGCGUCCGGUGUGAAAGUCCAUCGCUUAACGGUGGAUCCGCGCCGGGUACGGGCGGGCUUGAGUGCGGUAGGGGAGACUGGAAUUCCCGGUGUAACGGUGGAAUGUGUAGAUAUCGGGAAGAACACCAAUGGCGAAGGCAGGUCUCUGGGCCGUCACUGACGCUGAGGAGCGAAAGCGUGGGGAGCGAACAGGAUUAGAUACCCUGGUAGUCCACGCCGUAAACGGUGGAUGCUGGAUGUGGGGACCAUUCCACGGUCUCCGUGUCGGAGCCAACGCGUUAAGCAUCCCGCCUGGGGAGUACGGCCGCAAGGCUAAAACUCAAAGAAAUUGACGGGGGCCCGCACAAGCGGCGGAGCAUGCGGAUUAAUUCGAUGCAACGCGAAGAACCUUACCUGGGCUUGACAUGUUCCCGACAGCCGUAGAGAUACGGUCUCCCUUCGGGGCGGGUUCACAGGUGGUGCAUGGUCGUCGUCAGCUCGUGUCGUGAGAUGUUGGGUUAAGUCCCGCAACGAGCGCAACCCUCGCCCUGUGUUGCCAGCACGUCGUGGUGGGAACUCACGGGGGACCGCCGGGGUCAACUCGGAGGAAGGUGGGGAUGACGUCAGAUCAUCAUGCCCCUUACGUCCAGGGCUUCACGCAUGCUACAAUGGCCGGUACAACGGGAUGCGACCUCGUGAGGGGGAGCGGAUCCCUUAAAACCGGUCUCAGUUCGGAUUGGAGUCUGCAACCCGACUCCAUGAAGGCGGAGUCGCUAGUAAUCGCGGAUCAGCAACGCCGCGGUGAAUGCGUUCCCGGGCCUUGUACACACCGCCCGUCAAGUCAUGAAAGUGGGUAGCACCCGAAGCCGGUGGCCCAACCUUUUUGGGGGGAGCCGUCUAAGGUGAGACUCGUGAUUGGGACUAAGUCGUAACAAGGUAGCCGUACCGGAAGGUGCGGCUG
rnacentral:rRNA from 1 species